rnacentral:rRNA from 2 species
GGNGGCAGGCCUAACACAUGCAAGUCGAACGGAGUUAUAUUGCAGCUUGCUAUGGUAUAACUUAGUGGCAGACGGGUGAGUAAUGUAUAGGAAUCUACCUAGUAGUACGGAAUAAUUGUUGGAAACGGCAACUAAUACCGUAUACGCCCUACGGGGGAAAAAUUUAUUGCUAUUAGAUGAGCCUAUAUUAGAUUAGUUAGUUGGUGAGGUAAAGGCUUACCAAGACAACGAUCUAUAGCUGAUCUGAGAGGAUGAUCAGCCACACUGGAACUGAGAUACGGUCCAGACUCCUACGGGAGGCAGCAGUGGGGAAUAUUGGACAAUGGGCGAAAGCCUGAUCCAGCCAUGCCGCAUGAGUGAAGAAGGCCUUCGGGUUGUAAAGCUCUUUUAGUGAGGAAGAUAAUGACGGUACUCACAGAAGAAGUCCUGGCUAACUCCGUGCCAGCAGCCGCGGUAAUACGGAGAGGGCUAGCGUUAUUCGGAAUCAUUGGGCGUAAAGGGCGCGUAGGCGGGUUAGUAAGUUAAAAGUGAAAUCCCAAGGCUCAACCUUGGAACUGCUUUUAAAACUGCUAGUCUAGAGAUUGAAAGAGGAUAGAGGAAUUCCUAGUGUAGAGAUGAAAUUCGUAAAUAUUAGGAGGAACACCAGUGGCGAANGCGUCUAUCUGGUUCAAAUCUGACGCUGANGCGCGAA